UGAGGCAAAAGUAAUCCAUAUAAAACGGCAUAACCCACCUUUCAUGGGCUAUAUGGUUAAGAAUACAUUUUACCGGUCAACUAUUCUCACAGAAACCUAAUCUUUCAAAACAUCAGAUUGUAUCACUGCAAAAAUAAGUGAUUACUUGAGGAGAUGCAUGAUGAUACUAUGGAAAGAAUCUGGAAUUUAGAGUCAAAAGACUAGCCUGUGUCAGAUUCCUCUUUGCCCAAAGUUAGAUUCUUUCAGCCUACAUUUUUUUCCUCCAGUGGUUGCUAUAGCAACCAGCUGGGGCAGGUGUAACCUGACGGAACCUCAUUGAGUAUCUGUCACCCUGCAACUUCUCAGCUGCCUCCAUGUGGGAGAUAUGGGACCCACUCAGCUAUUCUGGUGGAUGUGAAGCCCUGAAAGUGUAUGCUUGUAGCGGGCCAACUGCAGGAGUUGCUGAAUUGGGUCUGCCUGGGACAAGGUAGACCCUCUCUCAGUACUGGAAGCAUUAUUUUGAUAGAGUGAGGAAAACCACAAAAGUAAAAGAGGUUUCGAGGCGCUAUUUUAAUAUU
rnacentral:lncRNA from 1 species